GCUUAACGCGAAGAACCUUACCCAGGCUUGACAUCCUGCUCAUUUCUUCGAAAGAAGAGAGUGCCUUCGGGCCGCAGUGACAGGUGAUGCAUGGCCGUCGUCAGCUCGUGUCGUGAGAUGUUUGGUUAAGUCCAUCAACGAGCGCAACCCUUAUAGUUAGUUGUAUUUCUCUAGCUAGACUGCCCUGGUAACAGGGAGGAAGGAGGGGAUGAUGUCAGGUCAGUAUCUCCCUUACGUCUGGGGCUACAAACACGCUACAAUGGCCGGUACAAAGGGCAGCCAACCCGCGAGGGGAGCAAAUCCCAUCAAAGCCGGUCUCAGUUCGGAUUGUAGGCUGAAACUCGCCUGCAUGAAGCUGGAAUCGCUAGUAAUGGUAGGUCAGCACACUACCGUGAAUACGUUCCCGGGUCUUGUACACACCG
rnacentral:rRNA from 1 species